UAGGGAAUCUUCGGCAAUGGGGGGAACCCUGACCGAGCAACGCCGCGUGAGUGAAGAAGGUUUUCGGAUCGUAAAGCUCUGUUGUUAAGGAAGAACGAGUGUGAGAAUGGAAAGUUCAUACUGUGACGUUACUUAACCAGAAAGGGACGGCUAACUACGUGCCAGCAGCCGCGGUAAUACGUAGGUCCCGAGCGUUGUCCGGAUUUAUUGGGCGUAAAGCGAGCGCAGGCGGUUAGAAAAGUCUGAAGUGAAAGGCAGUGGCUCAACCAUUGUAGGCUUUGGAAACUGUUUAACUUGAGUGCAGAAGGGGAGAGUGGAAUUCCAUGUGUAGCGGUGAAAUGCGUAGAUAUAUGGAGGAACACCGGUGGCGAAAGCGGCUCUCUGGUCUGUAACUGACGCUGAGGCUCGAAAGCGUGGGGAGCGAACAGG
rnacentral:rRNA from 1 species